ACGAACGCUGGCGGCGUGCUUCACCCCUGCCAGUCGAACGGAAAGGCCCUGCUUGCAGGGUACUCGAGUGGCGAACGGGUGAGUAACACGUGGGUGAUCUGCCCUGCACUUCGGGAUAAGCCUGGGAAACUGGGUCUAAUACCGGAUAGGAGCCAUUUUUAGUGUGAUGGUUGGAAAGUUUUUUCGGUGUAGGAUGAGCUCGCGGCCUAUCAGCUUGUUGGUGGGGUAAUGGCCUACCAAGGCGGCGACGGGUAGCCGGCCUGAGAGGGUGGACGGCCACAUUGGGACUGAGAUACGGCCCAGACUCCUACGGGAGGCAGCAGUGGGGAAUAUUGCACAAUGGGCGCAAGCCUGAUGCAGCGACGCCGCGUGGGGGAUGACGGCCUUCGGGUUGUAAACUCCUUUCGCUAGGGACGAAGCUUUUUGUGACGGUACCUAGAUAAGAAGCACCGGCUAACUACGUG
rnacentral:rRNA from 1 species